rnacentral:rRNA from 1 species
GAGGUUAUUAACCUUAAUGCCUUCCUCCUCGCUGAAAGUACUUUACAACCCGAAGGCCUUCUUCAUACACGCGGCAUGGCUGCAUCAGGCUUGCGCCCAUUGUGCAAUAUUCCCCACUGCUGCCUCCCGUAGGAGUCUGGACCGUGUCUCAGUUCCAGUGUGGCUGGUCAUCCUCUCAGACCAGCUAGGGAUCGUCGCCUAGGUGAGCCAUUACCCCACCUACUAGCUAAUCCCAUCUGGGCACAUCCGAUGGCAAGAGGCCCGAAGGUCCCCCUCUUUGGUCCGAAGACGUUAUGCGGUAUUAGCUACCGUUUCCAGUAGUUAUCCCCCUCCAUCGGGCAGUUUCCCAGACAUUACUCACCCGUCCGCCACUCGUCAGCGAAGCAGCAAGCUGCUUCCUGUUACCGUUCGACUUGCAUGUGUUAGGCCUGCCGCCAGCGUUCAUCU